CCUACGGGUGGCAGCAGUGAGGAAUAUUGGACAAUGGACGAAAGCCUGAACCAGCCACGUCGCGUGAAGGAUGACUGCCCUCUGGGUUGUAAACUUCAUUUAUAAAGGAAUAAAACGAGGCACGUGUGCCUUUUUGCAUGUACUUUAUGAAUAAGAAUCGGCUCACUCCGUGCCAGCAGCCGCGGUAAUACGGAGGAUCCGAGCGUUAUCCGGAUUUAUUGGGUUUAAAGGGAGCGUAGAUGGGUUGUUAAGUCAGUUGUGAAAGUUUGCGGUUCAACCGUAAAAUUGCAAUUGAUACUGGAAGGCUUGAGUGCAGUUGAGGUAGGCGGAAUUCGUGGUGUAGCGGUGAAAUGCUUAGAUAUCACGAAGAACCCCGAUUGCGAAGGCAGCUUACUAAACUGUGACUGACAUUGAUGCUCGAAAGUGUGGGUAUCAAACAGGAUUAGAUACCCGAGUAGUC
rnacentral:rRNA from 1 species